rnacentral:misc_RNA from 1 species
UUUCCGUAGGUGAACCUGCGGAAGGAUCAUUAAAGUUAUAGUCCCCUGGGCCUCUGGGCUGGGGUCUUCUAUAUCACCCUUUGAUCAUUCCACCUUUGUUGCUGUGGCAGGCUUGCCAUCGGGCUGCUGGCUCCGGCCGGCGAGCGCCUGCCUGAGGACCUAAACUCUGUUUGUAUAUAAUGUCUGAGAACUAUAUAAUAGCUAAAACUUUCAACAACGGAUCUCUUGGUUCUG